rnacentral:rRNA from 1 species
AUUGAACGCUGGCGGCAUGCCUAACACAUGCAAGUCGAACGGCAGCACGGCAGUAGCAAUACUGUGGGUGGCGAGUGGCGGACGGGUGAGGAAUACGUCGGAAUCUGCCCAGUCGUGGGGGAUAACUAGCCGAAAGGUUAAGCUAAUACCGCAUACGACCGAGAGGUGAAAGCGGGGACGGCAAGCCUCGCGCGAUUGGAUGAGCCGACGUCGGAUUAGCUAGUUGGAGGUGUAAAGGCCCACCAAGGCGACGAUCCGUAGCUGGUCUGAGAGGAUGAUCAGCCACACUGGAACUGAGACACGGUCCAGACUCCUACGGGAGGCAGCAGU